UACGGGGGGGGGCAAGCGUUGUUCGGAAUUACUGGGCGUAAAGGGCUCGUAGGUGGCCAACUAAGUCGGACGUGAAAUCCCUCGGCUUAACCGGGGAACUGCGUCCGAUACUGGUUGGCUUGAGUUUGGGAGAGGGAUGCGGAAUUCCCGGUGUAGCGGUGAAAUGCGCAGAUAUCGGGAGGAACACCAGUAGCGAAGGCGGCACUCUGGGCCGGUACUGACGCUGAGGAGCGAAAGCGUGGGGAGCGAACAGG
rnacentral:rRNA from 1 species